rnacentral:rRNA from 1 species
ACCCGCUGAACUUAAGCAUAUCAAUAAGCGGAGGAAAAGAAACCAACAGGGAUUGCCUUAGUAACGGCGAGUGAAGCGGCAAAAGCUCAAAUUUGAAAUCUGGCCUCACGGUCCGAGUUGUAAUUUGUAGAGGAUGCUUUUGGCGAGGUGCUUUCCGAGUUCCCUGGAACGGGACGCCAUAGAGGGUGAGAGCCCCGUACGGUAAGACCACCGAGCCUCUGUAAAGCUCCUUCGACGAGUCGAGUAGUUUGGGAAUGCUGCUCUAAAUGGGAGGUGUACGUCUUCUAAAGCUAAAUACCGGCCAGAGACCGAUAGCGCACAAGUAGAGUGAUCGAAAGAUGAAAAGCACUUUGAAAAGAGGGUUAAAAAGUACGUGAAAUUGUUGAAAGGGAAGCAUUCAUGACCAGACUUGGGCUUGGUUGAACACCCGGCGUUCUCGCCGGUGCACUCUGCCAGUCCAGGCCAGCAUCAGUUUGCCCCGGGGGACAAAGGCGGUGGGAAUGUGGCUCUCUUCGGGGAGUGUUAUAGCCCGCCGUGUAAUGCCCUGGGGUGGACUGAGGAACGCGCUUCGGCACGGAUGCUGGCGUAAUGGUCAUCAAUGACCCGUCUUGAAACACGGACCAAGGAG